CGAUUCUGGAAGAAGAAAAUAAUGGGGUGUUUAAAAAGGAAUUUCAAAUUAGUAACAAACUAAACUAAUCUUAAAAUAUGGGUAUCUUUGGGGGGGACUUUUUUUCACUUUUAAAAGAUAUGUAGUUGUAAAAUACACAUAAGGAAAAAUUUGCCACCUUAACCAUUUUUAAGUGUACGGUUGGUUAAGUAGUGUUAAGUAUGUUUGCAUUGUUGUGCAACCAAUUUGCAGAACUUUUUCGACUUGAGAAACAAACUCUAUACCAGUUAAACUACUCCUCCACCCCCGUCUCAUUCUGUUUUGUUUCUAUACUGUAUGGGUGUUUUGAGCUGAGUGCCAAGUCCGUUUUGUAAUUUGCUUGAAACAUAUAGGUACGUUGCCAAAACACUUAAACAGCUCAGAAGGUUGAGUUUCCUUAUCCUUAACUUUCAGCCUCCUACUUACUCUCUGGUAGGUUUCCAAAAAUAUUCUGUGCAUUUAUAAAUAUAUUUGGGUACAGAGUCCUAAACACACACACACACACCCCACUUUAAAAAAUAGUAGCAAAGUCCCUUCUGGGCCUUUUUAGCUAAUUUUAGCUGGGUAUUUUUAGCUAAUAUGUCUUGGAACAUAUUUUCAGUACAUGUUGAUCUUCCUCCCUUUUAAUAGUUACAUGGUGUUCUGUUUGUUUAACCAACAAACAAUCAUUGGAUACCAGAUCAUUUCUAGUUUUUUGUUACUCCGUCUUUGCUGCAAUGAUUAUCCUUGUAUUCACCUGUCUGCACAUAUUUGAGUGUAUCCAUAUGAUAAAUUCUUGGAAAUGAAGCUGUUGGAUCAAAGAGUAUAGGUAAUUAAAAUUUUGAUAGCUAAUACCAAUAGCCUUCCAAAGAGAUUGCACAUCCAAAAGGAUGAAUGAGAUUUCCUAGUCCAACACGUUGGCAAACAGCAAAAUGUUUGAUAAUAAAAAUACUUGUUUUGAUAAUAAAAAUCUAACUAGAGAAAAAAAUGGCACCUCAUUAUAGUUAAAAUUUGUAUCAAAGAGUGAGGAUGAGGAUCUUUUUAUAUGUUUAAAGCAGCAGUUCUCAUCAAGGAGCAAUUUUGACCCCCAUAGGACAUUUGGCAAUAUCUGGGAACAUUUUUGAUUGUCACAAUUGAGGGGGGUUGCUACUGGUGUCUAAUAGGUGGAGUCCAGAGAUGCUGGUAAACAUAAUGGACAGCAUAGCCCCCUUCAACAAAGAAUUAUCUUGUCCAAAAUGUCUUUAGUAGUGUAGAGAUUGAGAAAUCCUGGUUUAAAGCCAGCUGUGUAUCUUUUUCUUUGCCUGGCUUACACAAUUAGGUUUUUGGUUGAUCUCUAAGCUCUCUAGUGUAAAAAUAUUUGUUCUAUAUCAUAUGUGUUAGAAAUGUUUUUCUCUGUUUUUUUCAUUGCAUCGAGUUUGACUAUCCAGUUUGUUUACCAUGCAGAAACAUGUCCUUUUAUCAAGUCAGAGUUAUCAGUCUAUUCUUUUUUUUUUUUGGCUGCACCCUGUGGCAUGCGGAUCUUAGUUCCCUGACCAGGGAUGAACCUGCGCCCUUGGCAGUGAAAGCACGGAGUCCUAACCACUGGACGGCCAGGGAAUUCCCCUCAAUCUAUUCUUUUAAAGUUUUUGUGUUUUUGUGACAAAGCUAUAAGGCCAUCUUAAACUAAGUUUUUUGUUUUAUAAUUUUUAAGUAUUCUUUUAGUAUUUCUGUGGGGUUUUUUCCCCACUCAGAUUUUUAUCUACCUGAAAUGAAAUACUGUUUUGCAUACUAUUUUGGCAUAGGAGGUGAGUUAGGAAACCCACUUAUUUUGGUUCAGAUGGCUGGCUGUGCAGUUGUUCCAGCACCAUUGGCUGACUAGUUAUUUUUUUCUUUCUAUUAGAAAUUCCACCUCUGAAUUCUUGUAUAUCUAGGGGUCUUUUUUAAAAUUCUAUUACGUUGGUCUGUCUAUUCAUGUAACAGUACUAAACUAUUUUAAUUGCUCUAGUUUUAUAAAAUGCUUUAGUCUCUUGGAAAGCUAGUUCCUGCCUCAUUUGGAUUUCUUCUCAGAAUUUUAAGUGAUUGUUUUUCUUUCCUAAAACAGAUAAAAGUUUCAUCACAUUUACCAUGAUUUUGAGGUCCCAGAGAAUUUUGGUAAAUUGUAGUGUAGGUUAACUCUACUUCAGCAAGUUUUAGGCGUCUACCAAUAGUACUGAGGAAUUUGGAACCUUUUUUCUUUCUUGCCUUCUAUACUCUGGUUCUAAUGCUUUACAGAUGGAGGAGUUCCUUAGUAGUACUAAGGCCCGGUCUUCAGGUUAAGAGGAAAGCUGCCUUUGCCCUUCUUUCUGCCAAUUCCUGAGACCUUGAGCAUGAAAAUGUCCUUUAUCCUACUGGGAAUGAAUCCAACUAAACCAAAGGCAAAGGGCACCUCAGACCUUCAAUCUGGGAACACUUUUCUUCUUUCUGUAGUAAAUAAGGCAUGAGAAAGAAAGAAAAAAUAUUUGGAUUGGACUGAAAGAAACAAUGCUGUCAUUAUUUGCAGAUAAUAUGAUUACAUAGAAAACCAAAAUAAUGUAUAACUAAAUUAUUAGUUUAAUAAGAGUUUGACAAAUUUUCAGUAUACAAAAGUAAAUGAGGAGAAUUCAAUUUGCACACAAGCAAAAAUCAACAAGAAAUAUAGUACAAUGGCAGUAAAAAUGAGAAGUUCAAAAUCCAGAAUAUGGGCUAUACUACAGGACAAAUGAUCUAUAUUUUUCAGCCAAUAAAUGGCAUAAAGAAAAUGGAAAGGGGAGCUGUUAUAGAUUAAAAGAGACUUAUAAGAUAUACAGGCAUACCUAGUUUUAUUGUUUUUAACCUUUAUUGUGCUUUGCAGAUAUUGUGUGUUUUACAAACUGAAAGUUUGUGGCAACCGUGCUUUGAUGGUUAGCAUUUUUUAGCAAUGAAGUAUUUAUUUAAGAUAUGUACAUUUUUUUUAGACAUAGUACUGUUGCACACUUAACAGAAUACAGUGUAGACAUAACAUUUAUAUGCACUGGGAAACCAAAAAAUUUGUGUGACUCGCUUUAUUUCAAUAUUCACUUUAUUGUAGUGGUUUGGAACUGAACUUAAAAUAUCUCGAGGUAUGUCUGUAACAAAUUAAUGCAAUGUGAAGUCCUGACAGGAUCCUGAUUUGAUCAAACCAACUGUAAAAAGACAUUUUUGAGAUAGUUGUUAAACUUUGCAUAUGGAUAGGUACUAGUUGAUAUUGAGGAAUUAUUGUCAAUUUUUUUAGUUGUGAUAAUGAUAUUGUUAUAUAAAAGUUAGAAAUGCAUACUGAAGCAUUUAUAGGUGAGAUUAUAUGACUUCUGAGAUUGGCUUUCUGAUUAUCACUUUCAAAUUUUGAUAAUUGUUGAAUUGUUAAAUAAAAAUGGGAGCUUAUUUUAGUAUUUUCUCUAUUUUUGAAUAUAUUUGAAAACAUCAUAAUAAAAAUUUAAAAAUGGUCUUUAAGCAUCUUUGCGUUGUUAGUUGCAAGGGAAAGAAUAGUAAUUACACAGUGGAAAAAUCUGAUAACACCGUGGUUGGAUGGCCAAAAUUAACAUUACAUUUGAUUACAGAGAGACACUGUGUAGUUUCAGGUGUGAAAUAGAGAGAAAUACCAUGUUAAUGGAUUGGAGCACUCAGUGUCAUAAAGAUGUCAGUUCUUCCCACAUUGAAUUCUAGAUUCAGUACAGUUUCUAUCAAAAUCCCAACUGAUUUUGCUUGUGCAAUUAAAUAAGCUGAUUCUAAAAUACAUGUGGAAAGACAAAGGUCCAAGUAUAUCCAAGAAAGCUGUUAUAUUUAAGACAGUGCAAUCCAUGUAGCCAAAUGGAGCAGAAUAGAGAGCCUAGAUACAGAUCUGUAUAUUUAGGGAGACUCAGUCUAUGACAAAGCUGACAUUAAAGAUCUGUGGGAAUGAUGGACUUUUCAGACUGGGACAGUUGGUUAGCCAUAUGGGGGAAAAUGUAGUUGGAUCCCUACCUCAAUUCCUAUACAAAAAUUCAUUCUAUGUAGAUUAAAGACAAAAAUUUAAAAGAUAAACCAUAAAAUUUUUGGAAGAAAAUUAAUACAAUUUUGGUUACAGAUGGAUUUCUUAACCCCAAAAGCAUUGGCUGUAAAAGAAAAGAUUCAUAAAUUCUGCUAUAUGAAAAUAAUUUCUGCUCAUCAAAAUAUACUAUAAUUGUGAAAAGGAAGCCACAAAUGAAAAGAUUUUAAAUCUUUAAAAGCUUGUAGACUUUUACGAGUCAUUAGGAAAAAAGUCAACCAUGUAGAAAGAUGAGCAAAAUAAAUUAAUACGAAUUACUCAGAAGAAGGAACAUAGUGACUAUUAACAUGAAAAUGUAUUCACCCUUAUUAGUAAUAAGGGAAAUGUAAAUUAAAACCAUACUGAGAUACUAUUUCAUAUGUACCAGAUUGUCAAAAAUUUUAAAUGUCUGACAUCAAGUGUUGGGGAGGUGUGGAGCUGCAGGAACUCGUACUCAUAUAUUGCUGCUGGUAGGAAUAUUAACCACUUUGAAGGAGGUUUGGCAUUAUUUGGGAAAGUUGAACUUCAGCAUGUGUUUCAGUUACCUAUUGCUUUAACAAACCACCCUAAAACUUAAUGGUUUGAAAUGACAAUGCUUUAUUAUUAUUCACACUUCUCUGGGUUGACUGGGUUCUUCUGCUCUAUAUAGUAUAAGUUGAAGUCAUUCAUAUGGCUCCUUUUAGCUGGAUUCUUGACUGGGGCUGAAACAUCCUAAAUGACCUCUUACCCUCCAGGGCCUUUCUCCCAUGGCCUCUCGUCAGUUGAUAAUCUGUCUCUCUUCUUUACAGCAUAGCAUUUGGCUUCCAGGAGAAAAUGGAAACUACCAGCCAUUUUAUAGUGUGGUCUUGGAAAUUCCAGAAUAUCAUUUCAUCAUAUUCUAUUGCUCAAAAAAGUCAUAAGGUGAACCCAGACUCAAGGGGAAGGGGAAAAUAUACUCCUUCUCUUGAUGGAAGGGAUGCCAAAGGAUUUGUGGUCAUGUUUAAUCUACAACUGUGUCCUGUAAUCCGGCAGUUUCACCCGUAGGUGUAUGCCCUAGAGAAACUCACGCACAUGUGACUGGAAAAAGUGUACAAGAUUAUUUUUAGCACCAUUGUUCAUAAUAGAAAAAAAAAACCUGGAAACGAUCCCCAAAGUCCAUAAACAGUAGAAUGAAUAAGUACUUUAUGGUAUGGUCAUAUGUGAAAUACUGUAUAUUAAUUAAAGUAAGUGUAACUAUUUGCACCAAAAUAUGGGUAAGUCUCCAAACCAUGUUUUGUGAAAGAAGCAAGUCAUAGAGUAACAUAUACUGUAUGAAUCUAUUAUAUAAAGUUCAACAUUAGGCAAAAAUUAAACAGUUUAUUGUUCAGAUCAUGGUUAGGCAAACUUUAUCUGUAAAGGUCCAGAUAGUAAAUAUUUUAGAUUUCCUGGGCAAGAGGCAAAAUUGGAGAUACUAUGUAGGUGUAAGAGAUGUAUCUAUAACCUCACAUAUAAGAGAUGUAUGUAUAAUGAGAGAAAACCAAUUUCCACGGUAUUUUUUAAUUGGUGAAAUUCAAAAUAAGUACUUCUUUUGUAAUACAUAUCUACUAAUGACAAGAAUGAAAUUCUUUUCUGGGGAGAAGGAAGAGUGUGUUGGUUUCCUAGGGCUGCCGUAACAAAAUACCACCAAUUGAGUGGCUUUAAACAAAUUUAUUUUCUUAAAGUUCUGGAGGCUGGAAGUAUGAAGUCCAGGUGUUAGCAGGGCCAUGCUCUGAUAUUCUGGGUAGAAUUCUUCCUUACCUCUUCCUAGCUUCUGGUGAUAGCUGGCAGUCCUUGUGUUCUUAGCUGCUUUGUUCCCAUCUCUGCCUCUGUCAUCAUGUGGUAUCCUCCUUGUGUGUCUGUCUUUACAUAGUCUUUCUUCCUCUUAAAGAGACAGCAGUCAUAUUGGAUUAAGGAUCCACCCUACUCCAGUAUGACCUCAUUAUAACUAAUCACAUCUGCAGCAACCCUGUUUCCAAAUAAGGUCUCAUUCGGGGGUACUGGAGGUUAAGACUUCAACAUAUCCUAACAUUUUGGUAGAUAUAAUUCAAUCUGUGACAGGGAGGUACAAUUGUAUUUUGGUGAAUACAGUUCAAGCCAUAACAGGGAGAUAAUGUUUUGCUUAACUGGGGUUUAAAAUUGGUGUUCCCUAUCAUCAAAUUGAUCAUAAAUGUUCAUCUGUGAAAACGAUUCUUCACUCUAGGACUAUGCACAAAGCAGAUGGAGGAUUGGGUUUAGUCCUGGGCUUAGACAUAGAUAUGUAAGUGUUAGGAAUAGUAAAAAAACAAGGGAAUGAGUAAUAAUAUUUAAAGUAGUUGUGAGAGGAGAUUGGUUCAAGAUGGUGGAGUAGAAGGACAUGCACUCACUCCCUCUUGGGAGAGCACUGGAAUCACAACUACCUGCUGAAUAAUCAUCGACAGGAAGACACUGGAAAUCAACAAAAAAGAUACUCCACAUCCAAAGACAAAGGAGGAGCCGCAAUGAGACGGUAGGAAGCGUGCAAUCACAAUAAAAUCAAAUCCCAUAACUGCUGGGUGGGUGACUCACAAACUGGAGAAUGAUUAUACCCCAGAAGUCCACCCACUUGAGUGAAGGUUCUGAGCCCCACAUCAGGCUUCCCAACCUGGGGGUCUGGCAACGAGAGGAGGAAUUCCCAGAGAAUCAGACUUUGAAGGCUAGUGGGAUUUGAUUGCAGGACUUCGACAGGACUGGGGGGAACAGAGACUCCACUCUUGGAGGGCACACACAAAGUAGUGUGCACACCAGGACCCAGCAGUAGGAGCAAUGACCCCAUAGGAGACUGAACCAGACCUACCUGCUAGUGUUAGACGGUCUCCUGCAGAGGCAGGGGGCAGCUGUGACUCACUGCAGGGACAAGGACACUAGCAGUAGAAGUUCUGGGAAGUACACCCUGGCGUGAGCCCUCCGGGAGUGUGCCAUUAGCCCCACCAAGGAGCCUGUGGGCUCCGGUGCUAGGUCGCCUCAGGCCAAACAACCAGUAGGAGGGAACUCAGCUGCACCCAUCAGCAGACAAGUUUUACUGAGCUCUGCCUGCCAGGGCAAUACCCAGCUCUACCCACCACCAGUUCCUUGCAUCAGGAAGCUUGCACAACCCUCUUAGAUAGCCUCAUCCACCAGAGGGCAAACAGCAUAAGCAAGAAGAACUACAAUCCUGCAGCCUGUGGGAAAAAAAACACAUUCACAGAAAGACAAGAUGAAAAGGCAGAGGACUAGGUACCAGAUGAAGGAACAAGAUAACCCCACCCCCCCACCAAAAAAACUAAAUGAAGUGGAGAUAGGCAACCAUUCAGAAUAAUGAUACUGAAGAUGAUCCAGGACCUUGGAAAAAGAAUGGAGGCAAAGAUUGAGAAGAUGCAAGAAAUGUUUAACAAAGACCUAGAAGAGUGAAAGAACAAACACCUAGAAGAAUUAAAGAACAAACAGAUGAACAAUACAAUAACUGAAAUUAAAAAUACACUAGAAGGAAUCAAUAGCAGAGUAACUGAGGCAGAAGAACAGAUAAGUGACCUGAAAGACAGAAUGGUAGAAUUCACUGCCGCAGAACAGAAUAAAGAAAAAAGAAUGAAAAUAAAUGAAGACCGCCUAAGAGAUCUCGAGGACAACAUUAAAUGCACCAACAUUCACAUUAUAGGGGUCCCAGAAGGAGAAGAGAGAGAGAAAGGACCCGAGAAAAUAUUUGAAGAGAUUAUAGUCAAAAACUUCCCUAACAUGGGAAAGAAAAUAGCCACCCAAGUCCAGGAAGCCUGGAGAGUUCCAGGCAGGAUAAACCCAAGGAGAAACACACUGAGACACAUAGUAAACAAAUUGAUAAAAAAGACAAACAUUAUUAAAAGCAACAAGGGAAAAACGACAAAGGACAUACAAGGGAACUCCCAUAAGGUUAACAGCUGAUUUCUCAGCAGAAACUCUACAAGCCAGAAGGGAGUGGCACGAUAUUUAAAGUGAUGAAAGGGAAGAACUGACAACCAUGAUUACUCUGUCUGGCAAGGAUCUCAUUCAGAUUCGACCGAGAAAUCAAAGCUUUGCAGACAAGCAAAAGCUAAGAGACUUCAGCACAGCACCACCAAACCAGCU